rnacentral:rRNA from 1 species
UGGGGAAUUUUGGACAAUGGGCGAAAGCCUGAUCCAGCAAUGCCGCGUGUGUGAAGAAGGCCUUCGGGUUGUAAAGCACUUUUGUCCGGAAAGAAAUCCUUGGCUCUAAUACAGUCGGGGGAUGACGGUACCGGAAGAAUAAGCACCGGCUAACUACGUGCCAGCAGCCGCGGUAAUACGUAGGGUGCAAGCGUUAAUCGGAAUUACUGGGCGUAAAGCGUGCGCAGGCGGUUUGCUAAGACCGAUGUGAAAUCCCCGGGCUCAACCUGGGAACUGCAUUGGUGACUGGCAGGCUAGAGUAUGGCAGAGGGGGGUAGAAUUCCACGUGUAGCAGUGAAAUGCGUAGAGAUGUGGAGGAAUACCGAUGGCGAAGGCAGCCCCCUGGGCAAUACUGACGCUCAUGCACGAAAGCGUGGGGAGCAAACAGGAUUAGAUACCCUGGUAGUCCACGCCCUAAACGAUGUCAACUAGUUGUUGGGGAUUCAUUUCCUUAGUAACGUAGCUAACGCGUGAAGUUGACCGCCUGGGGAGUACGGUCGCAAGAUUAAAACUCAAAGGAAUUGACGGGGUCAUAGCUGUUUCCU